GACGAACGCUGGCGGCGUGCUUAACACAUGCAAGUCGAACGGAAAGGCCUUUUCGGAGGUACUCGAGUGGCGAACGGGUGAGUAACACGUGGGUGAUCUGCCCUGCACUCUGGGAUAAGCCUGGGAAACUGGGUCUAAUACCGGAUAGGACCGCACUUUAGUGUGUGUGGUGGAAAGUUUUUUCGGUGUAGGAUGAGCCCGCGGCCUAUCAGCUUGUUGGUGGGGUAAUGGCCUACCAAGGCGGCGACGGGUAGCCGGACUGAGAGGUUGGUCGGCCACAUUGGGACUGAGAUACGGCCCAGACUCCUACGGGAGGCAGCAGUGGGGAAUAUUGCACAGUGGGCGCAAGCCUGAUGCAGCGACGCCGCGUGGGGGAUGACGGCCUUCGGGUUGUAAACUCCUUUCGCCAGGGACGAAGCGUUUUGUGACGGUACCUGGAGAAGAAGCACCGGCUAACUACGU
rnacentral:rRNA from 1 species